GCCAAGUGCAGUGGCACAUGCCUAUAGUCCCAGCUACUUGGGAGGCUGAGGUGGGAGGAUGGCUGGAACCCAGGAGCCCUGGGCUAUAGUGCACUAUGCUGAUUGGGUGUCCACACUAAAUGUGGCAUCAAUAUGGUGACAUACUAGAAGCAAAGACCACCAGGUCACCUACGGAGGAGUGAACCAGCCCAGGUCAGAUGCAGGGCAGGUCAAAACUCCUGUGCUGAUCAGUAGUGAGAUUGUGCCUGUGAAUAGCCACUGCACUCCAACCUGGGCAACAUAGCAAGACCCCAUCA
rnacentral:SRP_RNA from 10 species